UACGGAGGGGGCGAGCGUUGUCCGAAGUUACUGGGCGUAAAGGGCGCGUAGGCGGCGCAAUAAGUCAUUUGUGAAAUCUCCGGGCUUAACUCGGAGCGGCCAAGUGAUACUGUUGUGCUAGAGUGCAGAAAGGGCAAUCGGAAUUCUCGGUGUAGCGGUGAAAUGCGUAGAUAUCGAGAGGAACACCUGAGGCGAAGGCGGGUUGCUAGGCUGACACUGACGCUGAGGCGCGAGAGCGUGGGGAGCAAACAGG
rnacentral:rRNA from 1 species